rnacentral:rRNA from 1 species
AUUGAACGCUGGCGGCAGGCCUAACACAUGCAAGUCGAACGGUAACAGGAAGCAGCUUGCUGCUUCGCUGACGAGUGGCGGACGGGUGAGUAAUGUCUGGGAAACUGCCUGAUGGAGGGGGAUAACUACUGGAAACGGUAGCUAAUACCGCAUAACGUCGCAAGACCAAAGAGGGGGACCUUAGGGCCUCUUGCCAUCGGAUGUGCCCAGAUGGGAUUAGCUAGUAGGUGGGGUAACGGCUCACCUAGGCGACGAUCCCUAGCUGGUCUGAGAGGAUGACCAGCCACACUGGAACUGAGACACGGCCCAGACUCCUACGGGAGGCAGCAGUGGGGAAUAUUGCACAAUGGGCGCAAGCCUGAUGCAGCCAUGCCGCGUGUAUGAAGAAGGCCUUCGGGUUGUAAAGUACUUUCAGCGGGGAGGAAGGGAGUAAAGUUAAUACCUUUGCUCAUUGACGUUACCCGCAGAAGAAGCACCGGCUAACUCCGUGCCAGCAGCCGCGGUUAUCGGAGGGUGCAAGCGUUACUCGGAAUUACUGGGCGUAAAGCGCACGCAGGCGGUUUGUUAAGUCAGAUGUGAAAUCCCCGGGCUCACCUGGGAAUCUGCAUUUGAUUCUGGUAGCUUGAGUCUCU